rnacentral:rRNA from 1 species
UUUCGAAUCAUUCACAAUGGGCGAAAGCCUGAUGGUGCGACGCCGCGUGAGGGAUGAAGGUCUUCGGAUUGUAAACCUCUGUCACUGGGGAAGAAACGCUGAAUCCUAAUACGAUUCAGCCUGACUUAACCCGGAGAGGAAGCAGUGGCUAACUCUGUGCCAGCAGCCGCGGUAAUACAGAGACUGCAAGCGUUAUUCGGAUUCACUGGGCGUAAAGGGUGCGCAGGUGGCCAAGUGUGUCAGGUGUGAAAUCCCGGGGCUUAACUCCGGAACUGCGCCUGAAACUGCUUGGCUAGAGCAUUGGAGAGGGAAGUGGAAUUCACGGUGUAGCAGUGAAAUGCGUAGAUAUCGUGAGGAACACCAGAGGCGAAGGCGACUUCCUGGA